AGCUUUGCGCAGUGGCAGUAUCGUAGCCAAUGAGGUUUAUCCGAGGCGCGAUUAUUGCUAAUUGAAAAGAAAAAAAAAAAAAAAAACCUAGAUGGUGUUUUAAAAAGCAGAGACAUAACUUUACCGACAAAGGU